CCGAGGCGUGUGUCGCCAGCAUGUGCAAGGGACUCGCCGCUGCUGUGGAGAGACAGUGAGUCAGCGCCCGUGCUUCUGGAUGGACCCUCGUCCCCACCACACAUUAACCACGUGAACAGCACAUCACAGCCUUCUGUGCCUAGAACACUCCAGGCCUUUUCAGAACCAUGCUCAGAGUCCACUUUAAACAGCAAAACCGGGACUUCCCUGGCGGCGCAGUGGUUAAGAAUCCACCUGCCAAUGCAGGGGACACGGGUUCGAGCCCUGGUCUAGGAAGAUCCCACAUGCUGCGGAGCAACUAAGCCCCUGCGCCACAACUACUGAGCCUGUGCUUUAGAACCCGUAACCCACAACUACUGAGCCCACACGAUGCAACUACUGAAGCCCGCGCACUUAGAGCCCAGGCUCCGCAACAAGAGAAGCCACCGCAAUGAGAAGCCUGUGCACCACAAUGAAGAGUAGCCCUCGCUCACCACAACUAGAGAAAGCCCACGUGCAGCAACGAAGACCCAAUGCAGCCAUACAUACAUAUACAUAGAGUUUUAUUAAAAAAACAAACAGCAAAACCACCAACAAAAAUUACAAAACAUGAAAACCGUGGCCCUAAGAAACAGUGAGUACAACACGUGUUCACAGUGGGAGCUGAAAUGAGGAGGGGGCACUGCCGAGUUGUGCUCGGCUGGGAACCAGCAUGCUGAACUCGAAUACUUUGCUGCUCUGCACAAGCCCGCAAAGGGCUGUGAAAUCAAUACAAUGAGUACUGAUCUGGGAGUUAUAAGUAAAUUUCAGUGAUCUGCAAGAAAUCUGCAAAUACGGAAUCCAUGGAUACAGGCUCAAGUGCGUGGGACCACCUACCAGGAGUCCCACAGAGCAGCAGCCUCACACGGGGCGGGUGUUGCAGAUGCAGAGGCAGAAUGAUGCCCCAGAGGAGGCGGCGCCGCCUCACUGCUAACCUGGCCACGCCCCACCAAGUCCAAGCAGCUCCUCCCCUUGCGCCAGCGGAAGACGGUGCUGGUCCGGCGGGCGCUCUGCCUGCUGCUACCACAACCUUCAAGUGGUUCCCGAAGGACGCUGGGGUAAGUCAACAGAGCACACCACCAGGCAGAUGGAGAAGGCUCCCACAAAACCCUUUCACCUCCUCAACACCUAGCAGGGCCUGGACCCCAGGGCAGCACAGGCUGGAGGCUGGGGCCACUUUCUUAUAAGAAGGAAUAAUACCUGUGAGCCCAGGGGAGACUAUUCAGGACAACAGGUGGGAACGCUGGUCAUACGAGGACACUGUCUGCAGGGUAAAGACACCUUUCCUCCCGAGACCACUGCCCCACAAGAUGGAGGUCUAGGGUAGCAGAGUCUCCACAAAAAUGGACUGAGUACCUGUGACCAUAACUGUGGUCCAGUGCAGAAGAGGCUGAAAAGUGGCCAGAGCAUGUUGGACUCAACCAAUGGAAUACACUGUUUUAACAGACUAAAGGAGUAACGACCAUCUUAACACAGAAAAAGUAUGUGACAAAAUUCAACACCCUUUCAUGAUAAAACUACUCAGCAAACCAGGAAUAAAAGGAAAACUCCUCAACAUAGUAACAUGUACGAUAACCCACAGUUAAUCAGCUUCAAUGGUGAGAGACUGGAUGCUUCCCCCAAGAUCAGGAACAAGACAAGGAUGCCUGCUUUGCCACUGCUAGUCAACACUGCAUUCGAAGUCCUACCAGGGCAGCUGGGCAGGAAAGGGGAAUAAAAGGCAUCCAAAUGGGAAAGGAGGUAAAAAACUAUCUCUACUGGCAGAUGACAUAAUCUUUAUAUAUAGAAAAUCUUAACAAAUUGACAUAAGGAAACCCCCUAAUCAAAAAGUAACACAAUCAGGGCUUUCCCGGUGGCUCAGUGGUUGAGAGUCCGCCUGCCGAUGCAGGGGACACGGGUUCGUGCACCGGUCUGGGAAGAUCCCACAUGCCGCGGAGCGGCUGGGCCCGUGAGCCAUGGCCGCUGAGCCUGCGCGUCCAGAGCCUGUGCUCCGCAACGGGAGAGGCCACAACCGUUAGAGUCCCGGCAAAAAAAAAAAAAAAAAAAAGCAAUACAAUCAAUUAGUAUUAGUUUUUGAAUUCAGCAAACUUGCAGGGUACAAGAUCAACAUGCAAAAAAAUCAGUUGUAUUUCUAUACAGUAGCAAUGAACAAUUUCAAAAGAAAAUUAUGAAAAGAAUUCCAUUUAGAAAAACAUUCAAAAGAAAUAAAAUAGGAAGAAUUUUAACCAAGACUUAAACACUGCAAGACUUAUAUACUGAAAACUAUAAAACACUGAAGAAAUCAAAGACCUAAAUAAAUGGAAAGACAUUCCAUGCUCAAGGAUUAGAGAAUUAAUAUCAUUAAGAUGGCAAUACUACCCAAAGCAAUCUACAGAUUCAAUGCAAUCCCUAUCAAAAUCCCAUUUUUUCCCCCAGAAAUGGAAAAGCUGAUCUUAAAAUUCACAUGGAAUUGUAAGGUAUCCAGAAUAGUCAGAACAUUCUUGAAAAAGGAUGGUGGACUCACACCUCCGGAUUUCAAAACUUCCUACACAGCUACAGUAGUCAAAACAGUGUGGUGUUGGCAUAAGGGUAGACACGAAAAUCAGUGAAAUAGAACUGAGAGAAAUAAAUGCAUACAUCUGAGGUCAACAGUUUCAACAGUGGAGCCAAGACCAUUCAAUGGGGAAAGAACAGUCUCUUCAACAGGUGGUGCUGGGACAACUGGAUCUCCACAUGCAAAACAAUGAAGCCGGGCCCUCACAUUAUAUACAAAAAUUAACUCAAAAUGCAUCAAGGACCUAAACAUAAGAGCUAAACUAUAAAACUCUUAGUAGAAGAAAACACAGGAGUCUAAGUGUAAGUCUUCAUAACCUCAGAUCUGGCAAUGAAUUCUUACAUAUGACACCAAAAGCAUAAGAAACAAAAGGGAAAAUAAACUUGACUUCAUCAAAAUUAAAAACUUUUGUGCAUUAAAGACACUAUCAAGAAAGUGAAAAGACAAACCCACUGAAUGGAAGAAAAUAUCUGCAAAUCAUAUACAGGUAUCCCCCCACGCCCCCCUUUGCAAAAGUUCCCUUUAUGCCACUUCACUUUUAUGAAAGACCUACGUUAGUACCCAUUUUUGGUAAUGGAAAGAAAUCUGAAGAGGAUUUUCACUUUUAUGGAGAAAGGCAAAAAGCAAAAAUAGCGUUUACCAUGUGUUUUGCAGCGAGCCAUUGGAGAGGCAGCAGCAGCCCGAGCAGUGAGUGACAUCGCCAAGUUCCUCCCCAGGAACCAUACUCCAUCUCAGCAUCAAGCCGCCAGAGCUCUGAACUGUGUCUCUGAGUGUCUGUGCUCUACCUUGACUCAUUUUGUGCAUCUGUUAGGUUUCACAGGAACCCUCUUACUUUGGAUAGCAGGGGAAACCUGUAUCUGAUUAGGACCUAGUAUCCAGAAUAUAUAAAGAGCUCCUAUAACUCGACAACAAACAACCCAAUUUAGAAAAAAAGUCUAAGGAUUUAGACAUUUCUUCAAAGACGCUAUACAAAUAACCAACAAGCACAUGAAAAGAUGCUCAACACCAUUAGUCAUGGGGAAAAUGCAAAUCAAAACCACAAUUAAGAGUAAGAUGGCCAUGAUCAAAAUAAAGGAGAAAAUACCAAGUGAGGAUGUGGACAAAUAAGAACCUUUGUACAUCAUUGAGGAUGGAAUGGAAAAUUGUUGUGGCUGCUGAGGAAAAGUUUGGUGGCUACUCAAUAAAUUAACAGAGAAUUACCAUACAACCCAGUAAUUUCACUCCUAGGUAUACACCCAAAAGAAAUGAAAACAAGGACUCAAACCGAUACCUGUAUAUGAAUGUCAUAGCAGCAAUAUUCCCAAUAGCCAGAAGGUGGAAACAACCAAAAUGCCCAUCAACUGAUGAAUGAAUAAACAAAAUGGAAACAUAUUCAGCUAAGGAAUGAUGUACACAUGCUACAACAUGGAUGAACCUCAAAACAUUGUGCUAAGAGGCCAGCUAAGAAGAGCCACAAUUCAUACGAUUCCAUCCACAGGAAAUAUCCAGUACAGGUAAAUCCACAGAGAUGUAAAGUACAUUAGUGGUUACCAGGGAAGUGGGGAAUGGGGAGUAACUGCUUAAUGAGUGUGAGAUUUCCUUUUGGGGUGAUGAAAACGCUUUUCAACUAGUUAGAGGUGAUGGCUUCAAAAUACUGUGAAUGUACUUAAUGCCACUGAACCACAUACUUUAAAAUGGUAAACUUUAUAUUAUGUGUAUUUUAUUGAAUACCACAAUUUUAAAAAAAAUACAGAUGAUUUGAACCCUAAGGAGACACUGGGUAUAAAAGAAUUAUUGUUGGGACUUCCCUGGUGGCACAGUGGUUAAGAAUCCGCCUGCCAAUGCAGGGGACAUGGGUUCGAGCCCAGGUCCGGGAAGAUCCCACGUCGCGGAGCAACUAAGCCCGUGCGCCACAACUACUGAAACUGCACUCUAGAGCCCGCGAGCCACAACUGCUAAGCCCGCGUGCCACAACUACUGCAGCCCGUGUGCCUAGAGCCUGUGCUCUGCAACAAAGAGUAGCCCCCGCUCCCACAACUAGAGAAAGCCCGUGCACAGCAACGAAGACCCAACGCAGCCAAAAACUAACUAAAAGAAUUACUGUUUAUUUUUAAAACUAUAACAAUGGUAUUGUGCUUAUAUACUAAAAGAGAGUCCUUCUUUAGAGACGCAUGCCAAAACAGGGAAUGACAUGUCUGGAUCUGGGUGGGAGCAGAUGGGACGGGUGAGGAAUAUGGAACAAGGCUGGCUGUGAAUUAAUUUUCAGAAAGUUUGUAAUUUUCCGUAAUAAAAAUUUAAAAUACCAAA